UACAGGAGGGUGCGAGCGUUAAUCGGAAUUACUGGGCGUAAAGCGCGCGUAGGCGGCUUUGCAAGUCGGGUGUGAAAUCCCCAGGCUUAACCUGGGAACUGCAUUCGAGACUGCAUUGCUAGAGUAUGGGAGAGGGAAGUGGAAUUUCCGGUGUAGCGGUGAAAUGCGUAGAUAUCGGAAGGAACAUCAGUGGCGAAAGCGACUUCCUGGACCAAUACUGACGCUCAUGUGCGAAAGCGUGGGGAGCAAACAGG
rnacentral:rRNA from 1 species